rnacentral:rRNA from 1 species
AUUGAACGCUGGCGGCAGGCCUAACACAUGCAAGUCGAGCGGAUGAAGGGAGCUUGCUCCUGGAUUCAGCGGCGGACGGGUGAGUAAUGCCUAGGAAUCUGCCUGGUAGUGGGGGAUAACGUCCGGAAACGGGCGCUAAUACCGCACACGUCCUGAGGGAGAAAGUGGGGGAUCUUCGGACCUCACGCUAUCAGCUGAGCCUAGGUCGGAUUAGCUAGUUGGUGGGGUAAAGGCCUACCAAGGCGACGAUCCGUAACUGGUCUGAGAGGAUGAUCAGUCACACUGGAACUGAGACACGGUCCAGACUCCUACGGGAGGCAGCAGUGGGGAAUAUUGGACAAUGGGCGAAAGCCUGAUCCAGCCAUGCCGCGUGUGUGAAGAAGGUCUUCGGAUUGUAAAGCACUUUAAGUUGGGAGGAAGGGCAGUAAGUUAAUACCUUGCUGUUUUGACGUUACCAACAGAAUAAGCACCGGCUAACUUCGUG